rnacentral:rRNA from 1 species
AUUCCAGCUCCAAUAGCGUAUAUUAAAGUUGUUGCAGUUAAAAAGCUCGUAGUUGAACUUCAGGCCUGGCCGGGCGGUCCGCCUCACGGUGUGUACUGUCUGGCUGGGUCUUACCUCUUGGUGAACCUGCAUGCCCUUCACUGGGUGUGCAGGGGAACCAGGACUUUUACCUUGAGAAAAUUAGAGUGUUCAAAGCAGGCCUACGCCCGAAUACAUUAGCAUGGAAUAAUAGAAUAGGACGUGCGGUCCUAUUUUGUUGGUUUCUAGGAUCGCCGUAAUGAUAAAUAGGGACAGUUGGGGGCAUUUGUAUUGCGUCGCUAGAGGUGAAAUUCUUGGAUUGACGCAAGACAAACUACUGCGAAAGCAUUUGCCAAGGAUGUUUUCAUCG